UGAACAUAUGCUAUUUAAUCAAUAGCAUCAACAUAAAAUGGUUUAAUAGUUUCACUUAUGAGAUUUGUUUAGGUUAAAGCGUGCAUGUGUCAACUCAAAUUAAUUCAUUAAUGAGGACUACCCUUUGCGCAAGCGCCACAUUCUGCGCUUUUAGCGCCGUUCUGCCUUUUUUGCGGACUGAAAUUGGCUGCAACAUCAUUUUUUCCGGCUUGGGUGGAAAUCCGUUAUUUGGUAAGUAAGGUUAACUGUUUUUUUGUUAUGUUGUUAAAUAACGCUUGCACACAAGUUGUGUAGUAGUAGUCGCGCGCUCUGUGUUCGAAAAGCGCCUGGUGACGCGUGCGGAAUAUGUCAGAGGGACGAGCGCACAUAAUUAGGAGAAAAUCCGGUCAAUUUUCUAAAUAAAACAUUUUUCAGAAAAAAAAAAUAUAUAAGCUUUUUGUGGUGCGGCCCGGUGGUUGGGGACCACCGGUCUACAGGUCUAGAAGGAAUUGAGUGGAGUACUUUGAUUUCUUCUACUGUGGUAGAAAUGUAACUACAGGCAUUAGGCGCCAGGCCUAUAGGCUACCAGGCAUAGCGCAGCCUGAAAAACAUAGAAAUAGAAGUGUUGGGUGUGCACCCUUUUUUCAAACUUGCGUUUGGGAAAACCGGACGACCGGACGAAACCCUGUCAAUGUGCGUGUUGGGUAUGCACCUUUUUUUCAAACUUGCGUUUGGGAAAACCGGACGACCGGACAAAACCCUGUGACGAAACCCUAUUUUCCUUUCUUUUGUUUCUUCAGUUCCGCCUUUUCUCUUUUCUCCUUUUCUUCCCUCUCUUUCUUCUGCCUCUUCAGCAGGUCAUUUUCUGCCUCCUGACGUUCCUUCAUUUGCUUCUUCAGCAUCUUUUCUUUCUCCUUCUCUAACUUCUUCUCCUCCUUUCUCAUCUGCGCCUUUUCCUUGUCAGUUUUUUGGGCGAACGCCUGAAGGUGGAGGUUCCAAACAUGGAGGUUAUCUUUCUGUUGUGUCAGGAGCCUGAUAUUUUCCUCCAAUUGGUUCACUUUGAGACGCAACUCCUUUUCCAUCUCUCUGCUCAGUCUGGCACUCUCCUGCCCUCUCUGGAAGUGCUCCUCCUGUAGUGCAUGGAAGGUGUGGCUGUGUUGAUCCAGAGUCGCAGAUUUGAUUUUACGCUCUGCCUCGCUGCGGAUGAUCUCGAUUUCUUUCUCCUUCAUCUCCAAGGCGAAUUUGAUAUCAGUAAUCUCCUUCUCCGAGGCCUCCUUACUGAGUCUCUGCAAGUCAAGUCCCCUGGCCUCCUUUGCGGAAAACUCACGUCUCAUUUGAUCUUCCAGAGCCAUGAGUUUUAUUUUCCACUCGGCCUCCACCAGGAUCAUCUCGCUUUCUUGCCGUUUCUGCUUGGCCUCGCUCCAGUUCUGUUCUUCAAGAGAUUUCUUUUCACUGGUUGUGUUAGUGAUUAGAUUGUCCUUUUCCAGGGUGAUCUGGCUUUUCUGUCUGUCAAAGUCGUCUUGCAGAGUUUGGAUCCUUGCAGAAUGCUCCUCCUCUCUUACAAGCCAUCGUUUUUUCCACGCGGAGUCCAAGUUAACAAUAUCAACUUUGUUCAUGGAACAUUUGAUAUUAUUCUCUUUAAUCCAGUUCUCUUUGUACUUCUCAUUCUGCGCUAUCAAGGACUCAAUGGCACUGUUGAAUUUAUUUUUCUCUUCAAGCAGAGUUUGACAAAGAGAGCUGGUCAGUUCCUCCUUCUCUUUCUCAAAGGCUUUCCUGUCAGCCUCUGCUUGUUUUGUGAUGGAUCUCUCUGACUGUAGAGCCUUCAUUAUUUUGGCCUUUUCCUGCUCCCAACUGACCUCCUUGGUGACCAUCUGCUCCUUCAAGACAGUGUUUUCCAAGUAGAGCUCGCUGGCUUGUUUUUCGAUGACCGAUAUGGUUUUUAACAAGCCCUCAGGCUCUCUGCUGGGACUUUGCUGGUCCAGCACUGGUGGGGCUAGGCAGCCCUUGUUUGCAGGUCCACUAGGAGGGCUGACCCCCUGUUCCAUCCUCUUCUCAAGGGCCUUCUUUUCAGCCAGUAUUUGUUUCCUGAUGCAUCUCUCUGCACGUAAAGCCUUCAUUAUUUUAGCUUUUUCCUGCUCCCAACCGAGCUCCUUGAUUGCAAAUUGCUUCUUCAAAUCAGCAUUUGCUGAUGCCAGCUCAACUUCUUGUUGGACGUCCAAAAGGAUUUUUUUCGGGUCCUGCAUUCUAACAAAGUGAUUCCAGACUGGUGUCACUGAAUGUCAUAUCUUAGAUGAAAGGGUUAGAAUGCGAUGAUGUCGUGGACCGUGAUGUCAGAAUGAGGUCACACAGGAAUGUACAGGCUCAAUUACCGAUGUUGUUGUGGCUGCAGGGAAUCACUUAUUGCCGUCUAUUGAUCACAUUCUAAUUUGUACUUUUUACACAAGGAGCCUACUGUACAACUUUAUUUUACAGUAACACGAUCUAUACUUACAAAACACAUACAAAAC
ensembl:lncRNA